GACGAACGCUGGCGGCGUGCUUAACACAUGCAAGUCGAACGGAAAGGCCUGCUUUCCCUUGUGGAUUGCGGGUACUCGAGUGGCGAACGGGUGAGUAACACGUGAGUGAUCUGCCCCCAACUUGGGUAUAAGCCUGGGAAACUGGGUCUAAUUCCCGAUAGGACUGCAGGGUGGUGCCUGUGGUGGAAAACGAUUUUCUAGUGGUUGGGGAUGAGCUCGCGGCCUAUCAGCUUGUUGGUGGGGUAAUGACCUACCAAGGCGGCGACGGGUAGCCGGCCUGGGAGGGUCACACGGGAACUGGGACACGGGCCAGACCCCUACGGGAGGCGGGAGGCGGGAAUGGGGAACAAUGGACGAAGGGCGGACGCAGCAACGCCGCGCGAGGGGUGGGGGUCGACGGCUCUUGGGUUUCAAUUACUUUUGAAGAACAAAGGAGCAACUUGCUUGGAAGGUCGUUACGGUUAGUGGUCAGAAAGCCACCGCCAACUACGUG
rnacentral:rRNA from 1 species